rnacentral:rRNA from 1 species
AUGCCACCAAUGCGCGCUCCCCAUCCUGGCAUCCUCGGGGCGCGCCCUGCCGGCCAUCAGGUGCUGCUGGCCGCGUCCCAGCCCGGCGGCUACCCGACUCCACCACCCAACGCAUGGCCCCCCAUGCCCCUACAGCUUGGCUCGGCAACCACGCCGAGGCAUCAACCUCCUAGGACCUUGCUCUUCUCGCGGCCCUGCAUCAAGCUCCCUCGCCGGCAAACUACACCGGCAAUGGCGAGUGGUUCAUGGAUACAGGGGCCUCCUCCCACAUGGCUAGCCACCCUGGAUUUGCGGACCAAGAUGGUGCUGCUCCAAUGUAAUAGCCACGGAGAUCUCUAUCCACUACAGUCGUCGCUCCCUGGCCGCGCGCCCGUCGCUCUCACUGCCUGUGUUGAUCUCUGGCAUGUGCGCUUAGGGCACCCCGGCACCUCGACCAUGCAUCAGCUUCUUCGUAGUUCUUUCUUUCAAUGUAAUAAGAGUGCGAAACACUCCUGCUCCGCUUGUCGCUUGGGCAAGAGCACUCGCCUCCUCUUUCCCGAUUCACAUCAUGUUUCUAGUUUUCCUUUUGAAUUGUUACAUUGUGAUGUAUGGUCCUCUCCAAUUAUUAAUAAUUCUGUUUCCAAUAUUACUUGGUGGUUCUUGACGAUUUUUCGCAUUUUGUCUGGACUUUCCCCCUGCGUUGCAAAUCGGACGUGA